rnacentral:lncRNA from 1 species
GUAACUGGUUUUGUUUUAUUCUUCAAAAUACCACAAAAGGUCGGUGUCUGACCUGAAUAAGAGCUGCUUGAUUGUGAAGAAUCGCCCUUACUCUAAGGUCGAUUAUGAAUAAUAAGAAUUCAUGAACCUUAAGAAAUCUGACAUACCAAUAAUUGGCAUUUCUGAUGCGAAAUUUUCAAUUGGCAUUUAUCCGUUUCAGAUCCGUUCAUCAUCCGUUUUAUCCGUUAUACGUCCGGUAGAAAUCCGUUUCUCAUUCGUUCAACAUCCG